GGCGCACGGGUGCGUAACGCGUAUGUAACCUACCUAUAACAGGGGCAUAACACUGAGAAAUUGGUACUAAUUCCCCAUAAUAUUCGGAGAGGCAUCUCUCCGGGUUGAAAAACUCCGGUGGUUAUAGAUGGACAUGCGUUGUAUUAGCUAGUUGGUGAGGUAACGGCUCACCAAGGCAACGAUACAUAGGGGGACUGAGAGGUUAACCCCCCACACUGGUACUGAGACACGGACCAGACUCCUACGGGAGGCAGCAUG
rnacentral:rRNA from 1 species